GGGGUGAAGGAGCAGCAGGUCUGGCGGCCCUCGGAGAGCAGCACUGGCUGAAAGUGAAUUCUGCUAUUAGAAAAUUCUAGGAGCGAAACAAAGAGUGACUACCUUGUUGGAAAUCAUCUGUACGUUCUAUUUCAGAGGAAAUUGCCAUGUGAAAUUUUGGCCUUGUGUUUGUAUUUUGACAGACUACAUAAUUGCUGUGUAAUUUUGUUUCAAAGUGCUCAUCUCAAUGAACUGGAGAUCGAUCCCCACCACGGGUGCCUUCCAGCCAGGCUGAUUUGCAUUGAAGCACAUUAGAAAGCCUCCCACCUCCAUUAAAAAGAAUAAUCCGAGAGAGGGGUGGUGUGGAAAUAAAAAAAUCUCCAAGGUGUGGCGGCGAGAGAAAAAUAUCUGUCACUGUCAUUUGGAGCUUCGAGAGGGAAAACCCAAGAUCAGAGUAUUUACGCUUGUGAACUCUCACAACUUCUGUUAGAGACAAUGACGUUUAAUUGAUGUAUUGCUAUCAACAACAAUAAA